GUGGGGAAUUUUGGACAAUGGGCGCAAGCCUGAUCCAGCAAUGCCGCGUGCAGGAAGAAGGCCUUCGGGUUGUAAACUGCUUUUGUACGGAACGAAACGGCUCUGGUUAAUACCCGGGGCUAAUGACGGUACCGUAAGAAUAAGCACCGGCUAACUACGUGCCAGCAGCCGCGGUAAUACGUAGGGUGCAAGCGUUAAUCGGAAUUACUGGGCGUAAAGCGUGCGCAGGCGGUUGUGUAAGACAGGCGUGAAAUCCCCGGGCUCAACCUGGGAAUUGCGCUUGUGACUGAACAGCUGGAGUGCGGCAGAGGGGGAUGGAAUUCCGCGUGUAGCAGUGAAAUGCGUAGAUAUGCGGAGGAACACCGAUGGCGAAGGCAAUCCCCUGGGCCUGCACUGACGCUCAUGCACGAAAGCGUGGGGAGCAAACAGGAUUAGAUACCCCGGUAGUCC
rnacentral:rRNA from 1 species